rnacentral:ncRNA from 1 species
UAGCAACUUCAGGGCAGGGUGUAAUUCCUGACCGGCGGUAAUGACGCAGCUGCGUCCGAGCCCGCGACUCGCUGAACCGCACAAGGAAAAGCGACUGAUCUGGUGAGAAUCCAGAGCCGACGGUACAGUCCGGAUGGGAGAAGAUGCAA